rnacentral:rRNA from 1 species
ACUCAAAGGAAUAGACGGGGGCCCGCACAAGCAGUGGAGUAUGUGGUUUAAUUCGAAGCAACGCGAAGAACCUUACCAGUAUUUGACAUCCAACUAACGAAGCAGAGAUGCAUAAGGUGCCCUUCGGGGAAAGUUGAGACAGGUGGUGCAUGGUUGUCGUCAGCUCGUGUCGUGAGAUGUUGGGUUAAGUCCCGCAACGAGCGCAACCCUUAUGAUUAGUUGCUACGCAAGAGCACUCUAAUCAGACUGCCGUUGAUAAAACGGAGGAAGGUGGGGAUGAUGUCAAAUCAUCAUGCCCUUUAUAUACUGGGCUACACACGUACUACAAUGGCACUUAACAGAGGGAAGCGAGAUAGUGAUAUGGAGCAAAUCCCCAAAAAGUGUCUCAGUUCAGAUUGCAGGCUGCAACUCGCCUGCAUGAAGUCGGAAUUGCUAGUAAUCGCAGAUCAGCAUGCUGCGGUGAAUACGUUCCCGGGCCUUGUACACACCGCCCGU